rnacentral:tRNA from 1 species
GUACGUGGCGUAGUGGUUUGAGCACUGGGAUACGACUCUGGAGACCAGGGUUCAAAUCCCUGCUUAGCCA